GUGAGAAAGAGAAGGACCUCGCUGCAGCCUUGCGGAAAGGGGCGGGGACGGACCACUGUCAGUCCCAUACCUUAUAUGGAAAUGGGAUUAUUGCACUCCGGAAAUGAAGGGGGCGCUAUUUUCAUUAUCACUAGUACCUUAAAGAAGCGGAGUUGAGAAGUCGAUUAAAAGAAGUAGAGGUUCUUCCACUGAUGUUCGGCACACGAUCCAUAAUGCAAAACCUACGAAGUCAGCAAAAGAUCCACGCAUCUAUCUAUUUGCAACAUAUUGAUGUCCCCCUUGCUCAUACAAUGCCGAUGAGUCGCACAAGGUACAGAACCAUAUAGCAAAAGCUGCUAUGGCUCAACAUAACGGUGCAAAGGAUAUCGCCAAUCUUACAGAUGCCUUUGAAUGGACUUGAAGCUGUUCUCCAGGAGGUGGUACUAGCACAGGGAGACACAGCUUACCUCACCCUGGCAUGCCAAGACACACCUUGGCAUCGACCUUCAAGUGCUUUGAAGCCAUUGUGUCUGACCCAGUUUCCGGGAAGAAGACUCACUUUGCUUGGCUGGAUGGUGAGAUCCACUGGGAUAAAUUUUAAGAGUCAUUCAAAGCAGAAAAUCGGAUUCCUUUUGGGGUCGAAACGUGUUCUUCCUGCAACCGGCCAUAUAAAGACUGUGUGGGCUUCACCAGAAAUGGAAGACGAGGGGAGUACCCUCGUUACUACUGUGAUGCCAUACCCGGACGCUGCCCUGAAAGUCAAUAAUGAAUGAAUCAGUUGUUUUCCAUAUUUCUGUUGUCACACAUUGUUCGUUUUUUUUUUUUGUGUGUGUGACAUGCCAUUUUAAAACAUUUCUGAUGAAGCACAUUUGCCUUUUAACUUGUGCGGUCAUUCGUUUUGAGUUAUUUCAAUAUUAUGUAAAUUUUUGAAUGUUCUUUUUGUUGUAGCUCAUUCAUUCAUUUAGUUUUCAUAGAAAUAUUGUCGGUUCCAGAAAAAGUUACAUUGUGGCUGUAAGAUGUUCUAAAGAGAGUAGAACCAAUAAAGUUAUUGUAACUAUACUGUAACAGCAUUGUUUAACAUUUUGAUAAUCUUGUUUUAAAAAUUUGACAUACAAUCAAAGUUAAUAACUUGCAAUAUUUUAUAUGUUUAAAUAAAAUGUUUCCUAAAAUCUUUGAAAAAUGA